rnacentral:rRNA from 1 species
CCUACGGGAGGCUGCAGUCGAGGAUCUUCGGCAAUGGGCGCAAGCCUGACCGAGCGACGCCGCGUGCGCGAUGAAGGCCUUCGGGUUGUAAAGCGCUUUAGUGGGGGAGAAAAGCCCGCGAGGGUGUGAUCUAUCCCAAAAAUAAGCACGGGCUAAGUUCGUGCCAGCAGCCGCGGUAAGACGAACCGUGCGAACGUUGUUCGGAAUAACUGGGCUUAAAGGGCGCGUAGGCGGGCUGACAAGUCUGGGGUGAAAUGCCGCGGCUCAACCGUGGA